UUAUGACGUUGGCGUCAUUGUCGUCCGAAGACACGUUUGUUUUCGCACUCUAACUUUAGUUUAAGUGAAUGGAUCUCUAUGAAAUUUUACCAUAAGGUUCAAUAUCACAAAAGGAAGGUUGGGAUUGAUUUUGGGGGUUAUGGUACCAACAGUUAAGGAAUUAGGGCCAAAAAUAAGCAUUUUUGUAACUUCUAGACAUAACUUGUGUGUUAGUGUAUGGAUCUCUCUGACAUUGUACCACAAGGUUCCAUAUCACAAAGGGAAUGCUGGGAUUGAUUUGGGGGGUAAUUGCCUCAAAAUUAUAGGAAUUAGGGGCAAAAAAAGGGGCAAAAAACAAGCAUUUUUCUAGUUUCAUGACAAUAACUUGUGUUUAAGUGUAUGGAUCUUUCUGAAAUUGUACUACAAGGUUCCAUAUCACAAAGGGAAAGCUGGAAUUGAGUUUGGGGGUAAUUGUCUAAAACGUUUAGGAAUUUGGGGCCAAAAAGGGGCUAAAAACAAGCAUUUUUCUAGUUUCCAGACAAUAACUUGUGUUCAAGUGUAUGGAUCUCUCUGAAAUUGUACUGCAAGGUACCAUACCACAAAGGGAAGGCUGGGAUUGAGUUUGGGGGUGAUGAAUCAUAAGGGGGUUCAAAAAAUUUGGGGGAGGGAUUUUUUUUUCUUUAAAAUUUUCCAUUUUAAAUUGGUUAUUUCUGAUUUAUAUAUAAAAGCAAAUAAUAAUGAUAUGGUUUGAAUAGGUAAAUUAAAAAUUUUAAAGUUCUUA